rnacentral:rRNA from 1 species
UACGUAGGGUCCGAGCGUUGUCCGGAAUUAUUGGGCGUAAAGGGCUCGUAGGCGGUUCGUCACGUCGGGAGUGAAAACUCGGGGCUUAACCCCGAGCCUGCAGUGGAUACGGGCAGACUAGAGGUAGGUAGGGGAGAAUGGAAUUCCCGGUGUAGCGGUGAAAUGCGCAGAUAUCGGGAGGAACACCGGUGGCGAAGGCGGUUCUCUGGGCCUUACCUGACGCUGAGGAGCGAAAGCGUGGGGAGCGAACAGG